CUUGAGAGCUGAGGCGCCUGUGC
rnacentral:piRNA from 1 species